rnacentral:tRNA from 1 species
UCCCUGGGAGCUCAGCUGGUAAAACAUCUGCCUGCAAUGCAGGAGACUCCAGUUCGAUUUCUGGGCCAGGAAG